ACGCCAAAGAAGACACAACUUCCUUCUUUAUGCAACACAUAAAAAUGGAGUGGCGUCAGAUUUUAGCAGUUGGAAGAUUACUGUUUGGCAAAAGACCCCGAGAGUUCACGUCAGAGGAACCGAAACCUAUGUGUGUCGGCGGAUCAGAGUUCGCUUUGUUGGUCCACGUCAGACUUUGACUGCGCAUCCGAACCUCCCCAAGCGAACCAGACUUUCUAGGCACAAUAAGGGGCAGUUUGGGGUUCAAUGUCAUCUGGUGAUGUUGGUCUGAUGGCUUUGAUAAACUCCACUGUCAACGCAGUCAUCUGUCCCUUGUUAGGACACCAGACCCAGCAAUGCAGAAGACCAGAGGACAUGUAUCACAGCAACCUGGGCUUCCAUUACACUCCAGCAGAACAAGCACACUGCGCUGAUGCAGCAAUUCAUGCAAAAGGAGCCACAGCAAAGAGCAUCAGUGCAUAGAAGUGAACACAGUUUUCAGAAGCCUGACAUUUCUGUUUAAAACAUCUUUACUUGUUGAUCUUAUGUAAUGUCAUUUUGUGAGACACUCAAUUUUUGGUUUUUCUGUAAGCCAUGAUUAUCAAAACAACAAGAAAUCAAGGGUCACAUUUAUCACUGUGGACUGAAUCUGUACUUGAGCUUCACUUUCUGAAAUGGGUCACAAAAAAUAUUCAGCCUUUUCAACUAACUCUAGUUUUUAAAGAUGUACCUUCACUAAUAAUAUAACAAUGUGUUUGAGAGUGAAAUUAGGACUUUUGCAGACAU